GUCUAUGGCCAUACCACCCUGAACGAUCUCACCUGAUCUCAGAAGUUAAGCAAGGUUAGGCCUGGUAAGAACAUGGAAGGUAGAAAUGGAGA
rnacentral:rRNA from 1 species